GAUGAACGCUGGCGGCGUGCCUAAUACAUGCAAGUCGAGCGAACGGACGAGAAGCUUGCUUCUCUGAUGUUAGCGGCGGACGGGUGAGUAACACGUGGAUAACCUACCUAUAAGACUGGGAUAACUUCGGGAACCGGAGCUAAUACCGGAUGAUAUUUUGAACCGCAUGGUUCAAAAGUGAAAGACGGGCUUGCUGUCACCUAUAGAUGGAUCCGCGCUGCAUUAGCUAGUUGGUAAGGUAACGGCUUACCAAGGCAACGAUGCAUAGCCGACCUGAGAGGGUGAUCGGCCACACUGGAACUGAGACACGGUCCAGACUCCCACGGGAGGCAGCAGUAGGGAAUCUUCCGCAAUGGGCGAAAGCCUGACGGAGCAACGCCGCGUGAGUGAUGAAGGUCUUCGGAUCGUAAAACUCUGUUAUUAGGGAAGAACAUAUGUGUAAGUAACUGUGCACAUCUUGACGGUACCUAAUCAGAAAGCCACGGCUAACUACGUG
rnacentral:rRNA from 1 species